CCCCACAGCACUACCACCACCACUAUGGGGAACAGCUCAAAAAAGGGUAAGUUACCCCAAAACUCGCUGUCAAUUCAGUGUUAGACACAGAUUUCCACAGCCAACGAGUGUGCCCAUUGUACUUGCCCAAAAAGGAGCUCCACAACCACAAGUCAUCUCAAUGCCAAUACUAUGAAAGGGUCGUUUUACUCAGAAUCCCUAAACUGCUCCUGCAAACUACUAAGACCCCACCCUCUGCCUCGACUUUAAUUCCUUUUCUACUUUACAACAUUGGAUCUCCCACAAU